rnacentral:lncRNA from 1 species
CAAACUCAUAAAUCUAAAACAAACUGACAACGCCAUGGCUAAAAAUGAAAAAGACAAACAAACAACAGCACACAUGACACAACAUAAAAAACUAAAGAAUAAACAACAAGAACCCCCCAAAAAACUAGGGGUGAUCUCAGGUGCUCCGGAAGGGUAAGCAGAUCCUGUUCCACAUGUGGCACCCGUCGUGUUGCUUAUGUGAUAACAAAUCCGGUAAAUAGUCUAAUUCGGUAGGUCACAUUCAUGAAAGGUAAGAAGAUUGUAGUUACGACGUAAGGAACAUAUCCGAUAUCAUUUGUG